AGAGCAUGGCUUUUGGAGUGAUUCUGAGCUACGUUUGAAUCCUGACUCCAGCGUUUACUGGCUGUGUGACUUUGAAACCUCUGGAGUGUUCUAACUGGCAAAAACAAUGGUACUUUGCGGUUUUGAGCCUGGGAAACCUAAAAAAAACUUUGGCAAUUGUGUCUCUUCUCACUUCAUGGCUCUGGAAAACAAGAAGACUGCUCAGCUUGACUCCAAGAGAUGGAGUUUCACCAUGCUGCCCAGGCUGGUCUUGAACUCCUGGACUCAAGUGGUCCAACCGCCUCGGCCUCCCAAAGUGCUGAGAUUACAGGCAUGAGCCACCGUACCCAGCCUUGAAUACACUUUGGUGAAUUCUGUUUAUAAAUAAUAUAUGCUCAUUGUAGAAAUUCUGGAAAACACAAAAGCUUAAAGAAGAAAAUGAAGUGCACCAUAAUCAUACUACCC
rnacentral:antisense_RNA from 1 species